rfam:Ricinus communis cultivar Hale ctg_1100012355279, whole genome shotgun sequence.
GGGUGCAAUCAUACCAGCACUAAUGCACCGGAUCCCAUCAGAACUCCGAAGUUAAACGUGCUUGGGCGAGAGUAGUACUAAGAUGGGUGACCUCUUUGGAAGUGCUCGUGUUGCACCCC